rnacentral:rRNA from 1 species
UACGUAGGGGGCAAGCGUUGUCCGGAUUUAUUGGGCGUAAAGAGCGUGUAGGCGGUUUGGUAGGUCCGCUGUGAAACUCGAGGCUCAACCUCGAGACGCCGGUGGAAACCAUCAGGCUAGAGUCCGGAAGAGGAGAGUGGGAAUUCCGUGGAUGUAGCGGUGAAAUGCGCAGAUAUCAGGAAGGAACACCCGUGGCUAAGGCGGCUCUCUAGUACGGUACUGACGCUGAGACGCGAAAGCGUGGGGAGCGAACAGG